rnacentral:rRNA from 1 species
GUUUACGGCCAUACCACCCUGAACAAGCCUGAUCCCGUCUGAUGUCGGAAGCUAAGCAGGGUCAGGCCUGGUUAGUACUUGGAUGGGAGACCACCUAGGAAGACCAGGUGCUGUAGGCU